rnacentral:rRNA from 1 species
UACAGAGGGUGCAAGCGUUAAUCGGAAUUACUGGGCGUAAAGCGAGCGUAGUCGGUUAUUUAAGUCGGAUGUGAAAUCCCCCGGGCUCAACCUGGGAAUUGCAUUCGAUACUGGAUAGCUAGAGUUCGGCAGAGGGAAGCGGAAUUUCUGGUGUAGCGGUGAAAUGCGUAGAUAUCAGAAGGAACAUCAGUGGCGAAAGCGGCUUCCUGGACCAGAACUGACGAUCAGGCUCGAAAGCGUGGGGAGCAAACAGG